rnacentral:rRNA from 1 species
GAUGAACGCUGGCGGCGUGCCUAAUACAUGCAAGUCGAGCGAACAGACGAGGAGCUUGCUCCUCUGACGUUAGCGGCGGACGGGUGAGUAACACGUGGAUAACCUACCUAUAAGACUGGGAUAACUUCGGGAAACCGGAGCUAAUACCGGAUAAUAUAUUGAACCGCAUGGUUCAAUAGUGAAAGACGGUUUUGCUGUCACUUAUAGAUGGUUCCGCGCCGCAUUAGCUAGUUGGUAAGGUAACGGCUUACCAAGGCAACGAUGCGUAGCCGACCUGAGAGGCUGAUCGGCCACACUGGAACUGAGACACGGUCCAGACUCCUACGGGAGGCAGCAGUAGGGAAUCUUCCGCAAUGGGCGAAAGCCUGACGGAGCAACGCCGCGUGAGUGAUGAAGGUCUUCGGAUCGUAAAACUCUGUUAUUAGGGAAGAACAAAUGUGUAAGUAACUAUGCACGUCUUGACGGUACCUAAUCAGAAAGCCACGGCUAACUACGUG